ensembl:lncRNA
CAAACAUUUAAAUCAAUCAGAACUUUUUUCUCUCAGCUUGUAUCUGUCUAUCUCUCUCUUCCUCCAUCAUUACUCUUCCUCUCUUUCUCCUCCUCUUUUCCUAUGUGUGUGUGUGACAAGACUGUGUGCUGUCGCUAUCUCCUCCUGUGUGUGUCACAGGAGUGUGUGUUGCUUUCCUCCUGCAUGUGUGUGUGUUCUCUCUCCUCAGGAGUGUGUGUUGGCGUGACAGGGCUUGUUGUGGCAUUGUGUAGCUGUCAGCCCCGCGGCUGGAGGAAGAUGUAUGAAGACACAGAGACAGGAGGACAGGAGUGCGUCAGAGAGGAUUGAGCUGUCACUGAUUCACAGCAAACUGCUCGGUCAUCACACUGCUGCUGCUUAGAGCAGGUCAGCGAGACGGAGAAAUAGAGGGGUCUUCUACACACGAGGGGACAGCUGUUGUGCAGUGAAGAUGUUCCGGGACAGCCCAUGCACAGUGGUGUGGGGAGAGAUCCAACAUGUCUACUCUUCCCAUCCCGGCGGGAGCGUCAGAAUAGGGAAGCAUUGUUCCACGGAAGAUGGACGGCCCUUCUAAUGUCUGCCUCUGGAAGAAACAAGAAGAAAAGAGGUGAAAGAGAAGAAAAGGAAAGCUUUGGCCUUCAUGAUACUAGCCGUCAGCCAGCCAGGAGCUGCCAGAGCCGUCAGCCAGCCAGGAGCUGCCAGAGCCGUCAGUCAGCCAGGAGCUGCCAGAGCCGUCAGUCAGCCAGGAGCUGCCAGAGCCGUCAGCCAGCCAAGAGCUGCCAGAGCCGUCAGUCAGCCAGGAGCUGCCAGAGCCGUCGAGCUGCCAGAGCCGUCAACCAGCCAGGAGCUGCCAGAGCCGUCGAGCUGCCAGAGCCGUCAACCAGCCUGAACUACCCCUCAGUCCUGAGCUACCUCUCAGUCCUGAGCUACCCUAUAGGUUCAGGUUUUGCGGCCGGAGUCCUCACCUUGGGGGGGGGGGGUACUGUCACGUUCUGACCAUAGAUCUUUUGUGUUUUCUUUGUUUUAGUGUUGGUCAGGAUGUGAGCUGAGUGGGCAUUCUAUGUUGUGUGUCUAGUUUUCCCGUUUCUAUGUUUGGCCUGAUAUGGUUCUCAAUCAGUGGCAGGGCUUAGUCAUUGUCUCUGAUAGGGAACCAUAUUUAGGUAGCCUGUUGUGUGUUGGGUUUUGUGGGUGGUUGUCUUCUGUCUUCGUGUGUCUGCACCAGACAGAACUGUUUCGGUUUUUCCACAUUUGUUGUUUUGUAUUUUGUAGUGUUCACAUUUAUCGUCUAUAUUAAACAUGAUGAACACUAACCACGCUGCGCUUUGGUCCUCUCCUCCGUCAACAGAAGAAAGCCGUUACAAUCACCUACCGAGAGAUGAACCUGGAGAAGAGCCCCCUAAGCAAGCUAUAGUCCUGGGGCUCUGUUCACAAACACAAACAGACCUCAUAGAUCCCCAGUACAGCAACACAAUUAGACCUAACCAAAUCAU